rnacentral:lncRNA from 1 species
GAAUUUUGUGCUACGCAAGGAAUUCUCCACGGAGAUGGACAGCUUUACGGUGGCGCACGACCCACCGGCGGAGAUGGCCUCGCCGGGCACUAACAACCAGCGCCAUCCUCGAUUCCAUUGGUACAAUGCGCAUCAGAGAGAAACUCACUUUCUGAAGGUAUGUACCUCACGGAACACGACGACGGGAAUGCGGCUGGCCACAGCACAGGGCGGAAGAACUCGAUUAAGAAUGCUCCGGUGACGAAUUCAUCACACGCCAACCACUGAUUCCGCACACCGAGGCUUCUAUUACUCUUGACGCACCCAGACGAGAUUCCUCAGCCUAAUAAUCGCGAGUCACAACAUCAAUGGUGGGAACGGCGACCUCACUUCUCUCACCUAUCUCUCGUGUUCCCAGGCGGCUGUAUGCUUCUUCCGCACAGCUAUGGCUUGUGCGUGGUCUUAUAGGUCCGGGAUUACGGAAGUUGGAUAGCGCACGACACGGCCCAAACGGUUGCAACGACAUUGACGAAAUGCUCGGAGAAAUCCCAAGAAUCGCGGCGCUGUGACAACGGAUCCGGCAGACCUGAGCUAGGAGAAAUGCCCUGACAGGGUUGGGCCACAUGCUGGGGCAAGAGGGAGGGAGACGCCCUGGGUCCCACACAGCCGCGGCGCUGGGGCAAACAGAGCUCGCGAGUGCGCAUCCGCGCGGGACACGCGCGUGGAGCCGCUGGAGCCGCGCAACCUACGGAGAUCGCAGCGCAGGGAGUGGAGAAGCUGUUGGGGAAGAAGGAGACCGGAUUUCUAGAGGGCCCACAUGGCGGUGACCCCAUUGAAGCAGCGUGCGGCGCGUGAUGUGUAGGGUGGGCUGCACAGGAAGGAGGCGGGUGGGCCGAGGCCAUCCCAAUUUCGGCCCAGUGCGGCUGAAGUAUAUUUUCUUUUUAUUUUCUGCUUCUUUUCUUUGUAAGUUCCCAUUUCUAAAUAUUCAAGUUAGUCAUUUAAUCCCAAAUUGGAUUAUUAAUUUGUUUCCAUUAAUGUGACUACUAUUAUUGUUAAAUUUAAUUAAAAGCCAACAUGGUGCACAAAUUAGGGAUGUGUCAUCUAUUAUUUAUUUACUUUUAAAUGUGGUGUUCACAUGUGUUAAUGAGUGGUAGCCACACACUUAAAGGGAUAAAUCACUACUCUCAUUAUUUACAAUUUGGGCACUACAAAUCCUACCCCCCUUAAAAAGAAUCUCGUCCUCGAGAUUAGGAAGGAUUAGGGAAAAGAUGGGGAAAUCUAUGUGAAGCUCUUCUCUUUCCCAUAUCGCUUCAUCUUCUCCAUGGUGGCUCCAUUGUACUUUGCACAUCUUUAUAACCUUAUUUCUUGUAACUCGAGUCAAAGUAUCCAAAAUCUUAAUCGGGUACUCCGUGUAAGUCAAAUCGCCCUGAACACUGAGCUCUUCCAUUGGUAACUGUUCCUCAGGGACACGGAGACACUUCUUAAGUUGAGAUACGUGAAACACAUUAUGCACAUCCGAUAGACUAGCAGGUAACUCAAGUUGGUAUGCCAUCUCUCCAACUCUCCUAAAGAUCAAGAAUGGUCCAAUAUAGCGAGGGGACAAUUUGCCCUUAACUUUGAUUCUCCUUAUUCCACAAAAUGGUGACACUUUGAGGUACUCAUGAUCACUUUCCUCAAACUCCAGUGGUCUUCUUCUAUUAUCAGCGUAGCUCUUUACCUGGUCUGAGCUACCCUCAAAUUCUCCCGAAUUAUACGGACUUGUUCUUCUGCCUCUUGAAUCAGUUCAGGUCCAAAGAACUGUCUUUCUUCUAGUCUAGUCCAAAAAUAGAGGAGUCCUGCAUUUCCUGUCAUACAGAGUCUCGAACGAUGACAUCUUCAGACUGGCAUAUUAACUAGUAUAUGAGAACUCAGCAUAAGGUAGACUCUUGUCCCAACUGCUACCAUGCUGAAGGGCACAAGCUCUCAACAUGUCUUCCAAUACUUGAUUAGUCCUUUUAGUUUGUCCAUCAGUCUGAGGUUGGUAGGCCGAAUUAAAAUUCAACUUCGCAUCCACAUUCUCAUGAAAACUUUUCCAAAAUCUAGGGGUAAACUGUGAUCCUCUAUCCAAAAUGAUCCUCUUCGGUACACUGUGUAGAGACACAAUCCAAGCCAUAUAUAACUCUGCCAAUUAAGAUCCCUUAUACGUAGUCUUAACCGGAAUGAUAUGAGCCACUUUGGUCAGUCUAUCCACAAUAACCCAUAUCGAAUCAUAUCCUUUCGAGGUGCGAGGCAAUCUAGUAAUGAAGUUCAUACCAAUCUCUUCCCACUUCCACUAGGGUAUCUUUAGUGGAUGGAGUAGUCCAGUUGGCCUCUGGUGUUCAGCCUUAACUCUUUGACACACAUCGCGCAUAGCCACAUGUGCAGCCACAUCUCUCUUCAGUCCAUACCACCAGUACUUCUGCUUCAAAUCUUGAUGCAUCUUGAUACUUCCACGAUGAAUAGAAUAAUCCGAGUUAUGGGCUUCCUUUAAAAUAGUCUCACGAAGGCUUUCAAACUCAGGAACACAUAUCUUGUCCUUGAACCAUACGGUGCCUUGCUCAUCUUCCGUGAAUUCCGGACCUCGACCUUCAGUAAUAAGAUCCUUGAUCUCUUGUAUUUUAGCAUCACCCAUUUGUCCUUUGUGGAUUUCUUGCUCCAAAGUAGGUUCCACAUCAAUAGUGACUCCUUCAGUAUGAGCAACUAUCCCCAGGUUAAGUCUCUUGAAAUCCUCAACAAUCUCAUCGGGUAACUGGGCAACAAUAGCUGAAUGAACAUGCUCCUUACGACUCAAGGCAUCUGCAACCAAAUUUGCCUUCCCCGGGUGAUAGUGAAUCUCCAAAUCAUAAUCCUUAAUAAGCUCCAACCAACGGUGUUGCCUAAGGUUGAGAUCCUUCCGAGUGAAUAUAUACUUCAAACUCUUAUGAUCCGUGUACACUUGACACUUGGUUCCCAUGAUAUAAUGUCUCCAAAUCUUAAGCGCAUGCACAACGGCUGGCAAUUCCAAGUCAUGAGUGGGGUAGUUCAAUUCAUGUUUGCGUAACUGACGAGAAGCGUAGGCAAUCACAUGACCUUCCUGCAUGAGCACACAUCCUAAGCCUUGGCCACAUGCAUCACAAUAGAUAUCAAAUCCUUUCUGUAGGUCUAGCAUAACCAAUACUGGUGGCGACAUCAACCUCUUUUUCAAUUGCUCAAAGCUGUCUUGGCACUUCUCGUCCCACUUAAAUUCUUUUCCUUUCUCCAAAAGUGAAGUCAUAGGUUUAGCAAUCUUAGAAAAUCCUUCAAUAAAUCUCCGAUAAUAUCCUGCUAAUCCCAAGAAACUCCGAAUCUCAGUAACUGUAGUGGGUACUCUCCACUCCAUUAUCUCCUUAACUUUAGCAGGAUCCACUGCUAUUCCUCCAUGAUAUAUCCAAGGAAUGACACCUCGUCAAUCCAGAACUCGCAUUUACUGUACUUGGCAUAGAGUUGAUUAUCUCUUAGCUUCUGUAGCACCAAUCUCAGAUGUUCCUCGUGAUCGCUAUCACUCUUGGAAUAGACAAGAAUGUCGUCGAUGAACACCACGACGAAUCUGUCCAGAUCAUGAACACCUUAUUCUUCAGAUCCAUAAAAUAGGUUGGUGCAUUAGUUAGUCCAGAUGACAUAACUGUGAACUCAUAUAAUCCAUAUCUAGUCGAGAAAGCCGUCUUGGGAAUAUCCGAUGGUCUAAUCCUCAUCUGAUGAUAACCGGAUCGGAGAUCAAUCUUCGAGAAUACUCUUGCACCCCUCAUCUGAUCAAAUAAAUCCUCAAUACGGGGCAACGGAUACUUGUUCUUCACUGUAACAUCAUUAAGCGAUCUAUAAUCCACACACAUCCGCUGCGUUCCAUCCUUCUUCUGUACAAACAAGACCGGUGCUCCCCAAGGUGAAGAACUCGGACGAAUGUACUCGGCCUCUUGUAACUCAGUUAACUGCUUCUUAAGUUCCUUCAACUCCUCUACGGACAUCCUAUAUGGCCGUUUAGAAAUAGGGGCGGUUCCAGGUAAGAGGUCAAUAACAAACUCAACUUCUCUCUCAGGUGGCAUCCCUGGUAACUCUUCUGGGAAGACAUUCGGAAAAUCCUUAACUCCACGGAUGUUGCCACACACAAACUUCUCAUCUACUAAGAAUACCGCUAGUCUGGUGGUGGUAGUUACUGCAAUUUCAACUUCAAAUCUUUCUUCUUUGGAACUAGUGAGUUCUUUGGUUCCUUUAGCACAGUGUAUAAACUGUCGUUGCCUUUCUCAACCAUGACAUACCAAGGAUCACGUCUAUAGUGCUCUCUUCUAACACUAUAGGGGUAGCCCAUCUGGGUUAGAAACACAGGGUAAGAAGCAAGGAUGGUAGACUAGGCGAGUAAUUACGAAGGAUGUUACUACGGGGGAUUUAUUAGCUAAGUAGAUUAGUGUGUUAUCCACUAAAGCUAAUACAUUACCUUAUGGUGGUACAUGCUAAGAUGCUCGUCUAUACUAUUUCAAUCAAUCAAAGAAGCAAAUCAGACAUUGAUCAUCAGAACAAUCAACCAACAUUUUUAAUAGAGAAAAUAAUUUUAAUUUCGUCUUAGGCUCCCUAUCUCUUAAAAUAUCAUAGAUGUAGGAUUCCCAGGUGUGAAAUCCAUCUCGUCUCAGAGUAGAGAAGGUAAGAGUAAUCAGAGUAGGAAAGCAAAAGGUGAGACAGGAUCAAGAUAAGUAUAGAGAGAAUAAGAGUAAGGUAAGUAUAGAAUGAAUCAGAAGAAGGUAAGUAGAUAAGGGUUUGUCCAUUUCUAUCUAGGUUUCGUCCUACAGUCAACAUUUCCUCUGAUACCACUUCUGUAACACCCGGCUUUAAGGAACAAAGCCAGGUGCAUCUCAUACAUGCGCCAAGAAGACAACAUAUAUAAUAACAGAGUGUAUAGAGAUAAAUGUCAUAAAACAUCAGAGAAUUUAUUACAUAGCGGAAGACUUAUUACAAAAUAACAUAAUAAAGAUAAAACGAACUAAGGAUCGUCGGCGCCAAUGUCGACUGGGAAACGCCACCUAGAUCAGAUCGAACUCCUCAGUGUUAGGCGGCUCCUCCUGAACCACCUGAUCAUCUCCUGUGGGGGGGGGUGUGAGACAGCAAGGGUGAGCUCACACAUGAUCAUCGCUCAACAAGUUGUGGGGAAUAAUGUGACAUGAACUCACCAAAGGUGGGAGCUCAUGUGAAGUGUAAGGCUGAUCAAUGAUAGGGGUUAAAGCUGAGCAUUGCUUUUAAGUAGUUGGUCAAAAUUUUAUUAGCAGUUACUAAGUGUAAGUAAAUACCAAACCUUAAAUAAAGUAAUUGCACAAAUUAAUAAUAAACCCAUGCAUAUGCAAAUGACAAAAUUGAAUUUAAGUUCCAUAAUUUAAACAUCAGAGAGUCCUGAGCUGCUCAUGACCGUGAGCUCGGCUAGUAUACCAGUUUUACACUCUGCAGAGGUUGUACCCUUUACCCACAAGUCAUGUUACCCAUCUGCCAAGGGGUCAUGAAUCCCAUACACCUCUACCUAGGAAGCGCGGCAGGGCAACACUACGAGGCCUUUACAAAGUUCCACUAGCUUCCGAAAACCCGCUACAGUUUAUGGGAAGAUCCAGUACAGGGUUCCUGGCUGACCGCCAUCGCAGCAAAAUCAACCAGGGACCUCCCCGCACUGACCUCUCCCCUACUGCCCUUGCCCCUUUCGGGUAAGGUAGUCUUCCACUAGCUUUCCUAGUUAAUCAGCCAAGGGCGUCCCAUUAAACCCUUGUGGUGGCACGUGGUUCUCAAGUUAAGCUCUAUAUUCCAAUUAACAUUAAUGAUCUCAACAUGAACAUAAAUAGAAUAACAAAAAUAACUGGAACAUAGAGGUAAUAAAUGAUUAUCCCAAAACCAUGUAAAGCAAUAGCAAACUACCCAAGUGAUUCAGGGGUGAACAAGGUAAUGAGAUAAACAAUCUAGGGUAACCUAUUGGGUCCCAUCAAAAUUAACCUAUGCAUGGAUAAGUGAUAUUAAAGAACAUUAUUGGGUAAAAAGUGGUCAAGGGCACAACUUGCCUGGCACUUGAGAUUCCAGGUACCAACUUGCUUUUCAGAUGACACGUGUCCCCGCGCUAGUCGUAGCAAUACAAACAAACAUGGUAUAGAUAAAAUUAACAUCACACCAAACAUAAGUACAAACUGAAUAAUAAUGAUCUACGUGUUGCUACGAGACUAACGCAACUUGAACGGAUCAAAUCGGAGUUAAAACGAAGAAGAUACAAAUUUCCUAAGGUUUUAUGUAUUUGAUACAUGAUUAAUUAAGAAAUAAAUUUUAAUACCAUUUUUAUGUUAAAACAGAGACACUAUGUAAUAAACAACAUUAUUAUAAAAUUACCGGAACUAGAAUGGACUAAUUUGGACUCAAUAUGAAUUUUAUAUGAAUUACGCAAACUCUAGUCAUUAUUCUUAUAUUAAAAAUAGAUUUCUAUUUCUUUUUCCUAUAUUUUCUAUUUACUGGACUGCAACCUGAAAUCUGAGAAGCGCAGGGGUCCUGAUGAAAUUAAUCCUAAGACACAGUUGACCCACUCGGUGGACUGCGGGUUGGUUUCUUAAAAAUGUGAGGGCUCUUUUAUAAACUUAGAUGGCCGAAGGGGUACGCGGAGAUCUCGGCCGCUGGAUCAGAACCAAACGGACCGGAUUACAUCUAGUUGCCUACAAACCCGUCUCGACAGGAGCCCUUAGAUCUAGAUCCUAUGACCAGAAUCCGCCCACGCUAGUCGCCAAUCCGAGUGGUCUAUCGGCCAUCCAACGGCUACCAUCUAAGAUGAGCGGAUCAGCGAAGUCUACCCUAGGAUCCCAGAUUGACGCUCGACAGUGAUCCGGACACAAUACCCCUUCCCUUCAAUCUGGAUUGUUCGCAAGGGAUCAGACGGCCGGGAAUCUUCCCCCCUAUCCCGGCCGGCCAAACACGGCGACGCCGUCGGCAUUCCCAUGGCAGCCUCCCGCCGGAGAUGCCCGAGCCACCCGAGAACUCCCAAUCGCUACCACCCUACUCCUACGCUGAAUAUUAAGUACGAUGAACAGCAGGGGCCUUACCGAAUUUUGUGCUACGCAAGGAAUUCUCCACGGAGAUGGACAGCUUUACGGUGGCGCACGACCCACCGGCGGAGAUGGCCUCGCCGGGCACUAACAACCAGCGCCAUCCUCGAUUCCAUUGGUACAAUGCGCAGCAGAGAGAAACUCACUUUCUGAAGGUAUGUACCUCACGGAACACGACGACGGGAAUGCGGCUGGCCACAGCACAGGGCGGAAGAACUCGAUUAAGAAUGCUCCGGUGACGAAUUCAUCACACGCCAACCACUGAUUCCGCACACCGAGGCUUCUAUUACUCUUGACGCACCCAGACGAGAUUCCUCAGCCUAAUAAUCGCGAGUCACAACAUCAAUGGUGGGAACGGCGACCUCACUUCUCUCACCUAUCUCUCGUGUUCCCAGGCGGCUGUAUGCUUCUUCCGCACAGCUAUGGCUUGUGCGUGGUCUUAUAGGUCCGGGAUUACGGAAGUUGGAUAGCGCACGACACGGCCCAAACGGUUGCAACGACAUUGACGAAAUGCUCGGAGAAAUCCCAAGAAUCGCGGCGCUGUGACAACGGAUCCGGCAGACCUGAGCUAGGAGAAAUGCCCUGACAGGGUUGGGCCACAUGCUGGGGCAAGAGGGAGGGAGACGCCCUGGGUCCCACACAGC